rnacentral:lncRNA from 1 species
UUAAAUUAGUCGAUAAAAUUAAAGGAAGGAAACAUUUUUAAAAUAGGGGCAAAUGGGUCAAAAGAAUCAAUUGAAGAGAAUAUUCUUAAUUGAUUGAGGAAAAGAUAAAGGAAAGAUUUAGACGAAAUUGAGGAGGGAGUUAAAUCUUUAAAUAGGAGUUGUUAAAAAUAGAAAAGAGGGGGGGACGGAAAUUUGAAGGAAGUGGGAAGACUCAGCUAGGGCUAACAAGUGUUAGAAGAAAAACUAAGAGGAGAUCAAGGUACGUGGAUAUAUUCAAUCCUUCUACUAGAAUAAUUUUAGUAUGAAGUAUUGUUAUUAAAAAUGAAAUGAAAUUAUGUAAGGAUAUAAAUGAUUUUUGGUUUUAGGAUUGUAUCUCCAUUGGAGGAUUUGAGGCCUGUUUUCGUACAACAAAGUUGUUCGAUUGUUUUUUUUGGUUCAAGGGAAGUUAAAGUUUUCUUCUUUUCUUUCUUCGGUUUGUUUUCUGUUUUCUUUUUCUGUUUUUUUGUUUUUCUUUUCUUUUUUCCGUUUUUUUUCUGUUUUUCCUGUUUCCUGUUUUUCUUUUUUCUUCUUCUGAUUUUCUGAUUUUGUCUUCUGAUUUUCUGCCUGAUAUUUCAGUAUCAUUGCUAGAUAAUCUCUGGAGUUUUGGUUUCUGAGUUUUGUUCUAUAAAUUAAUUUACUGGACAGCAAAAAAAAUCCUUAUGAACACGGGACUAUAAUCGUGGACUGGGCUCCACGAGGUCUCUAAGUUCAGGAUUUGCGCUGCCCUAGGGCUAGAAGCUCACGCUUAAGCCUUAGACACCCAAAUGAGACACCCACAUGGUUGAUUUUAAUCAAUGAAAUCAAGAGAUGGGUCUGAAUAAUUGGGUUGGUUGUUGAGGUUAAGCCUCAACUCUAUAGACCUACCGCCUAUUCCAGGGUGGUGGUCGAGUAAAUUUAAAGGUCUGCGUUUCGUUUUCAAAGUUUGAGUUAACGAACGAGAGGUAAAUUAAACUAAAACCUAGUCGAUUUAAAAGUUUGAUUUUUUUUACUAAUGCAAACCGUUUCAUUACUCGAGGAUUUAAAUGACAUUUCGGGUUUUAUUUCAACGUUAUGUUUUCUUUGGAUCUAAUAACGAAAAGUGUAAAAGGGAAAUCAACGAGACCUAAGGAACCCUAACCAAUGAAUUUAGGAAUGGACAAAAGGGGCGGGUCAAGCCAGUUCUUGGAAUGGUACUUGACCCGAACUAUUCCCAUCCACCAUCGGGUUAAAUCCUAAAGGAACCCAAGCCUUGAAGUUAGGGAUUUAGAGGUGAACGACGAAAGGAGAAGAUCGAGCAAGUCCCCGGGGUGACACUCAAUCUAACCUCCUCUCUAUUCACCGAAGAUCCACCAAGGUUACGGACCAAGAUUUGGAUUGAGUGGAACACUCAAUCUCUCCUCACUCAUGCCCAAUCAUACGAAAUUACGGAUCCUUAGGGAUUUGACGACACAUGAAAUGAACGGAACUUAACGGGCCUGACGAGGCUACAUGACCCGACGGAGUUUGACGGCAUGGCGAGGGUUUGCUCGAUGACCCAUGUAAAGGAAAAGGGGGGUUCAUAAGAACCUCUAUUGGUAACCAAGGAGGGCUGAUAUGCCCUAAAAGAAAUUCAUGAACUAUAAGAUUGAUUAUAUAUUCACGUACUAAGUUUUUGAAACUUACCCAUGUAAAUGACAAUUUUAUUGCAGAAUAAGGGACGGCUUGGAAUGGACUGGACAGAGGGUUUCACACAUAAAUGGAAUCCUAGGAUAUUAGUUAAAUAAAGAGUCUAUUUGGUUUCCGCUAGUACUUUGAUUUUGUUGUGUACGCCCAUUCGGGCAUAUGGAUCUUGAUUGUAUGUUUAAUUAAAUUUGGGAAUAACCCUAUUUAAAUUAAGAAAAUUCAGGUUAUUACACUGUCAGUCUCAUCUGAAACCCAAUCUGCAUCACUGAAUGCUGAAAUGCUGAAUUCCUUGCUUUUUCUGAGUACAAUUCCCAUACAUUAUGUUCCAGACAGGUAUCUCAACACCUUUUUCAUCAUAUUCCAGUGAAUUUCUUUAGGUUUUUCCAUGAACUGAGCCAGUUUGUUCACUGCAUAGGCAAUGUCAGGCCUUGACAUUAUAAGAUACUGCAAAGAACCAAUUAUUUUUCUAUAAUCAGUGGCUCUUUCUAUCACCUCAUCCUCAUAACAGAACUGCUGAUUUGACUGCAUUGGAGUAGAUACGGGUUUUAGGUUGUCAAAGCCAUGUUUGCUCAAAAGAUUAACAAGGUACAAUUGUUGAUCCAGAAACAGCCCUUCAACAUGCUUCCUCACCCUAAUCCCCAAGAAAUAUUCAAGUUCUCCACACAUUCUAACUGCAAAUUCAGACUUUAGUGUGUCCAAACAUUCCUCUACCUUUGCUGGACUUGAUCCAGUGACCGCCAUAUCAUCUACAUACACAAGUAUGUAAAUUAUAUCAUCAUCAUCAUUGAUUCUAACAAACAAAGAAUCAUCCGAUUGGCAUGCCUUUAACCCAUAUUAUUCAAGAAUUGCUUUAACCUCCUAAACCACAUCCUCGAAGCCUGCUUCAACCCAUACAGUGCUUUUUUUUAAUAGGCACACAUGUUUAGGUUUGGAUUCAUCAAGAAAUCCUAUAGGCUGCCUCAUAACAAUUCUUUCCUCCAACUGCC